UGUUGUGUGGCUUAGUUGGUUAAAGCGCCGGACUAGCGAAUCGGAGUCGUGGGUUUGAAUCCCACCAAAAAUA
rnacentral:tRNA from 1 species